rnacentral:RNase_P_RNA from 1 species
AAAGUUUGACAGACAAUCGCUGGCGGCUGUGAGGCCGCGAGAGGAAAGUCCGGGCUCCGCAGGGUAGGAUGCUGGAUAACGUCCAGUCGGCGCGAGCCGAAGGAUAGUGCCACAGAAAUGGACCGCCGAUGGCCGGCCUCGUGCCGGCACAGGCAAGGGUGGAACCGUGGUGUAAGAGACCACGAGGACCGUUGGUGACAACGGUGCUGGUAAACCCCAUCUGGAGCAAGACCGAGAGAACACAGCAUGAAAGCUUCGGCUUUCGGCACCCUUACCCGGGGCGUGUUCGGGUUGGUUGCUUGAGCCCGUCAGCAAUGGCGGGCCUAGAUAGAUGAUUGUCGCUUCGUUAGUGGGAGGGUCGUUCCCGAUUGGACCACCGGAAGCACAGAACCCGGCUUAUGGCAAGCUUUCCGC